rnacentral:lncRNA from 1 species
GUUCUCUACCCCCACAAUAAAUUUUUAAAAAUAAAUUUUCAUUGAUAUAUUUUGUUUUUAAGUUACUAUAGUCCCUCCUUUUCUCCUUUCCCAGAGAGCCAUCCCUUACAAAAAAUUUUUAAAAGGUGGGGUGGGGACAAAACAUUUCAUCAGAAUAGAUUUUAGAUUUCAGCUUGUCUUGCCUUCCCAACUCUGAUAUUCUUUAUUCUAAGGGUUCUCUCAAGAAACUCUGACAUUCUGUGUUAUCCAAGGUCCUUCUCAGCUCUGACAAUUCUGUGUUCUAAGAACCCUCCCAGCUCUGGACUUCUGGGUUCUCAGGGAUCUCCCAGCUCUGACAUUCUCUGUUCUAAGGUCUCUCCCAGCUCUGACAUCCUCUGAUCUAAGCUCUCUCCCAGCUCUGACAUUCUCUGUUCUAAGAUCUCUCCCAGCUCUGACAUUCUCUGUUCUAAGGUCUCUCCCAGCUCUGACAUUCUCUGUUCUAAGGUCUCUUCUAGCUCUGACAUCCUCUGUUCUAAGGUCUCUUCUAGCUCUGACAUUCUCUGUUCUAAGGUCUCUCCCAGCUCUGACAUUCUCUGUUCUAAGGUCUCUCCCAGCUCUGACAUUCUCUGUUCUAAGGUCUCUUCUAGCUCUGACAUCCUCUGUUCUAAGGUCUCUUCUAGCUCUGACAUUCUCUGUUCUAAGGUCUCUCCCAGCUCUGACAUUCUCUGUUCUAAGGUCUCUCCCAGCUCUGACAUUCUCUGUUCUAAGGUCUCUUCUAGCUCUGACAUCCUCUGUUCUAAGGUCUCUUCUAGCUCUGACAUUCUCCGUUCUAAGGUCUCUCCCAGCUCUGAAAUUCUCUGUUCUAAGGUCUCUCCCAGCUCUGACAUUCUCUGUUCUAAGGUCUCUCCCAGCUCUGAAAUUCUCUGUUCUAAGGUCUCUUCUAGCUCUGACAUCCUCUGUUCUAAGGUCUCUUCUAGCUCUGACAUUCUCUGUUCUAAGGUCUCUCCCAGCUCUGACAUUCUCUGUUCUAAGGUCUCUCCCAGCUCUGACAUUCUCUGUUCUAAGGUCUCUUCUAGCUCUGACAUCCUCUGUUCUAAGGUCUCUUCUAGCUCUGACAUUCUCCGUUCUAAGGUCUCUCCCAGCUCUGAAAUUCUCUGUUCUAAGGUCUCUCCCAGCUCUGACAUUCUCUGUUUUAAGGUCUCUCCCAGCUCUGACAUUCUCUGUUCUAAGCUCCCUCCCAGCUCUGACAUUCCCUGUUCUAAGGUCUCUCCCAGCUCUGACAUCCUUUGUUCUAAGAAUUCUCCCAGCUCUGACAUUCUCUGUUCUAAGAUCUCUCCCAGCUCUGAAAUUCUCUGUUCUAAGAUCCCUCCCAGCUCUGACAUUCUCUGUUCUAAGGUCUCUCCCAGCUCUGACAUUCUCUGUUCUAAAGUCUCUCCCAGCUCUGACAUUCUCUGUUCUAAGAUCCCUCCCAGCUCUGACACUCUCUGUUCUAAGGUCUCUCCCAGCUCUGACAGUCUCUGUUCUAAGGUCUCUCCCAGCUCUGACAUUCUCUGUUCUGAGGUCUCUCCCAGCUCUGACAUUCUCUGUUCUAAGAUCCCUCCCAGCUCUGACAGUCUCUGUUCUGAGGUCUCUCCCAGCUCUGACAUUCUCUGUUCUAAGCUCUCUCCCAGCUCUGACAUUCCCUGUUCUAAGGUCUCUCCCAGCUCUGACAUUCUCUGUUCUAAGCUCUCUCCCAGCUCUGACAUUCUCUGUUCUGAGGUCUCUCCCAGCUCUGACAUUCUCUGUUCUAAGCUCUCUCCCAGCUCUGACAUUCUCUGUUCUAAGGUCUCUCCUAGCUCUGACAUUCUGGGUUCUAAGGACUUCCUAGUCUUGAAUUUCUAUAAUCUGUAGCAUCUUGGAUUUAUCAACUAUGUAUGUAGAAAGGCCAGAAGAAAAGUUUCUCUUUGGUCUAGGUACCACCUCCAUCUUCAAAGCCGCUUCCCUAAAUCUUUUCUUUUAUCUCUGUCAG